rnacentral:tRNA from 1 species
GGCGCCGUAGCCAAGUGGUUAGGCACCGGAUUGCAAAUCCGUGAACACCGGUUCGAAUCCGGUCGGCGCCUCCA